rnacentral:lncRNA from 1 species
AUGGAAGAUGAUGAGCAAGAGCAGCGGCGCAGAAAAGUGGAAGCUGGGAGAGCGAAGCUUGCUCACUUCAGACAGAGAAAAACAAAAGGUGACUGUACGCAUUCGAAGAAAACGCCGGCGAAGAGGAAGGGCACGACUGUCAAUGCGCCUGUCGCGGAGGAGAGUCCGGUAGCUGCGCCCGGAGACGGUGGGCCCCUGGGCGGCCUGGACAUUGGCAAGAACCCGACCUGCAGCGACACCCCUGAUGGCGCUGAAGCCGCUCAGCUGCAGGAGCCCAGCAGAGAGAGGACACCGCCGAAGCUGGAUGGCCACUGUGCAGAGCAGCCCGGGGUCAUGACGAAGGAGCUGGAGCUGGAGGUGCUGCGCCUGAGCCUGAGUGACAUGCACGCAGCACGGCUGGAGCGGACGCAGGCGCACCUGCAGCGCGAGAAGGAGGCGGCACUGGCCGAGCUGCACGCUGAGCUCACCGGGCGGCACGCACAGGAGCGGGCCCUGCUGCAGAGCCGUGCACGCCGGGAGCUGGAGCUGGUCCGCGAGGAGGCAGCUGAGCUGAAGGAGAAGCUACAAUCAGAAAUGGAAAAAAAUGCCCAGAUGAUAGAGAUUCUGAAGCAAGACUGGGAAUCUGAGAGAGACUCAUGUUUAGAAAACCUACGCCAAGAAUUAUUGGAAAAGCAUCGGUCAGAACUGGAGAAUUUACAAAACCAGUUUAAGAAAGAAUUGGCACAACAGAAAGCUGAGUUGGAGAAGGUUUUUCAAGCCAAAAAUCAAGCUGAAUGUUCCCUUCAGACGCAGGAGGCGCAGCACGAGGCCUCCCUGAGCAAGCUCCGCGCAGACCUGCAGUUGGAGCACUGCCAGUACUUGGAGGAGCUGGAGCGGAAGUUCCAAGAGAAGGAGAAGGAGAACCAGCUGGAGCUGGAGAGGCUGCGUGCAUCCUAUGAGGAGCUACAGGCUCGGUCCCGGGAGGAGAUCCAGUGCCUGGGGGCCCAGCUUGAGUCCGCGAGGUCCAGCAGGCAGGAGCUGAGUGAGUUGCGUGAGCAGCUGCUGGCCCGGGCGUCUCACGUGGAGGAGCUGGAGCUCCUGAAGAGAGACUUGGAGCAGCAGCAGCAGCAGGAGAGGAGCCGGCACGAGUCCGAACUGGAGCAGCUGAGGCUCUAUUUCGAAGAGAAGCUGAGGGAGGCCGAGCGGAGCUACCAGGAGGACCUGACCCUGUUGCAGCGGCGGCUGCAGGAGGGGAGGGAUGACUCCCUGCUGGAGGCCAUGGGGACCAGUGCCUGUUUGGAAGAGACACCAGAAGAAGAAAGAGACCAUCCUGACAGACUCGGCCUUCAGCGGGAGCAGCUUGAGGAGAGCCUGGGUUUGUGCACAUGGUUAGAAGAAAAGCACCAGUGCCAACUAGCAGCGGGGACGUCCUCCCAGGAUGCCCAGCAGGAAGCGUUAGAAGGAGAGCUGCCUGCAGGGGGUUCGGAGGAGCUUGGCCAAGAGCUUGCCCGGGAGCCUCUCCUGUGUGCACAGAGCACGGCCUUAGAUUUGGAGACAGAGGUGCCGGCUGGAGACUUGGGUUUGGAAACCGCACACAGGGCUCAGCUUGUGCUUCUUCCAGUGGAGCUCAAGGAAGAAAUCGAUCUCUUAAAAGUAGAAAAUAGAAAUUUGCAGGAGAAGUUGCAGCGUGAAAUCUGCCUGAAAGAGGACUUGGAGAAAAUGAAACAGAAUUUAGUUGAAGCUCACCAGGAAGAACUGAAGAGUGCUGAGGAGAGGAUUGAGCAAAUGAAACAGGAACUCAGGGAGAGAGAGGCUGAGUGGAAAGUUACAAGUGAGGACCUGCGGAGAGGGGCUGAAGAGAGGCUGACGAAGAUGCUCCUUGACCUGCGAGAACAGGUGGAGUCUGAGAAGCGGUCCAUGAUGAACAGGUUUGAGCUUCGAGAAUCCGAAAUGAGGCAACUUCAAGACCAGCAGGCAGCUCAGAUCCUGGACCUGGAGGGGUCACUGGUGGAACAACAGGGCCGCCUUCGGCAGCUGGAGCUUGGACUCCCCGGAGAUGAGUCUCUGCGGUGCAGCCAGUGUGGCCGGGAGCUGGGCUGUGGCCCGGCCCCAGGGGCCCAGGACCAGGAGCUCGCCAUGCUCCACCUAAAGGAGGACUGCGCCCUCCAGCUGAAGGUGGCCCAGAGCAGGUUUUUGGAGGAACGUAGAGCAAUCACAGAGAAACUGGCCGCAGAGCAAGAUGCCUUCCUGCGGGAGGCCCAGAAACAGCAUGCGCACGAACUGCGGCUCCUCCAGGAGGGGCACCAGCGGCAUAUCCUGUCCCUGACCGCGGAGCUGGAGACCAGGCGCCAGGCCGAGGUGGAUGCGCUGAGGUCCUCGUUCGAGCGUGAGCGGUGGGCCCUGGCAGAGGCGCGUGAGGCUGAGUCGCAGGUGAAACACGUUGCUGAAGUCAGUGUGUUGGAGGCCAGACACGCGUCACACCUGGAUGCUCUGCGCUUGCAGUACCUGUCUGAGUUGCAGGCCGUGCAGGGCAGGCACCGGCGGGCCCUGGAGCUGCUGCGGCUGGACCUGGAGGAGCGGCUGCAGAAGGAGGAUGUGGCUCACCACGGGGUCUUGACCCAGGUGCUGGAGCUGCUGGAGCUGCGAUGUGCCGAAGAGCCUCAGUCCGCAGAGGACAGCCUGAGAGGGGAUGGGAGCAUGGAGCCCCCAGAAGGCGUGAGAGCCCUCUGGCUGCACGGGGCUCGCAAGCAGGAACCCGAGGUCCAGUGCUCAGAUCCCCAGGCGGGGCGGGAGGAGGAGCUGGAGCUGCUGGAGUGUAAGCCAGAAGCCUCCCUGGAGCAGCAGGUCACACCGUUACAGUAUACUUUUAUACAGGGUGAAUUUGGAAGUGAAAGAAAAGCUGCUUUGCAUGAAAAAGAGGAGAUACCUAAACUUGAACAUGAGAAGGCACAUUCUCUUUAUGAAAAAGAGAAAGAAUCUUUGUCUCUGCAGCUACAGGAGAAGAAUAAUCAAAUUCUGCAGCUGAAAGACCAGAUUUUAUCCUUAAAUCGAGAGAUAGAGGAGCGCCAUUCCGAACUGGAGAAACUUCAGCAGAGGCGGGAACGGGAGAACCAGGAGGGCACUGCUCUCAUAGCGAUGCUCAAGUCCGAUGUUGACCUGUCCCACGGCGAGAGGAGAGCUCUCCAGGAUACCCUGAGGCGGCUGCUGGGUCUGUUUGGGGAAACGCUUCAGACUGCCAUUGCCUUGAAGAGCCGCAUUGGCGAGCGCGUGGGGCUUUGCCUGGAGGACAGGAGCCCGCCCACCACACAGCCGGGGAGCCAGAGCCCCCCCACAGCCCCUGCACUGGAUGACGUGUGGGCAGGGCUUGAUGUGGCCUCCCUGGAGCCGGACGGCACGGUGGCGGAGUGUGCAGAGACUUCGUCGGUAGCUGAGAUCAGCAGUCACGUGUGUGAGAGCUUCUUCCUGAGCCCAGAGCGCACGCUGGACUGUGAGCAGCCUGUCAGGAGGAUCUUCCAGAGCUUGGGCCUGGCGGUGGAUGGCCUCCUGGACAUGGUCCUGGACUCGGCCAAGCAGCUGGAGGAAGCACGUCAGAUCCAUUCUCGUUUUGAGAAGGAAUUCAGCUGUAAGAACGAGGAGACGGCACAGGUGGUGAGGAAGCACCAGGAGCUGCUGGAGCAGCUGGAGGCAGAGAGCAAGGCCAAGGCCCAGCUGGUGUUGGAGCUGCACAAGGCAGAGGGCAUCAUCGAGGGCUUCAAGGAGGAGAAAGCCGGCCUGCAGGAGGCGCUGGGCCAGAAGGAGGCGAGCGAGCGGGACCUGGUAGGCGAGCUGGAGGGCCUGAGGCAGCAGCUGCAGCGGGCGGCGCGGCGUCAGGCAGAGCUGCGGGAGGAAAACGCUGAGCUGUGCAGCCAGACGGAGGCCCUGGCUGUGGACGCCCGAGAGAGGGAGGCUGCUCUGCGGAGGGAAGUGGAGUCGCUCACCCAGGAGCAGUCGGAGGCCAGGAGGCAGGCGGAUAAGGACCGUGCGGCCCUGCUCUCUCAGAUGCGGCUUCUGGAGGCCGAGCUAGAGGAGCAGCUGUCUCAUCAGCAGGCGUGUGCCCAGCAGGCUGAGGAGCUCGCUGCCCUGAGGCAGCAGAUUGACUCCCUGGACCAGCACCUGCGCCGCCAGCGCCAGUUCAUGGACGAGCAGGCAGUGGAGCGGGAGCGGGAGCGGGAGGACUUCCAACAGGAGAUCCAGAGGCUGGAGGAGCAGCUCCGCCAGGCAGCCCGGCCGCGGUCCCCGGGCCUCCGUGACAGCCACCGGGCACAGCUGGAUAAGGAGGUUGAAUUGUUAGAAGAAAAAUUGAGAGAAAAAUCAGAUGGACUUAAUGAAUUGAUUCUAAAGAAAGAAUUGGUAGACAGACAAGUACUAAUCCAGGGAGAGGAGAUCAGGCGUCUGGAGGAGACGAAUGCGAGCACCACGAGAAAGCUGCUGCAGCUCCAAGAAGAGUUGGAGACACAGCGGAGAGCCGUGCAGGCCCUGCAGCAGGACAAAGAGGCAUUACAGGAGCAGCAGAUGUGUAACCUGCUUCAGGUGUCCGCGCUGCAGUCCAGACUGGAUGAGGGCAAGUGCCCGGUGCCUCCCGAGGGCGGUUGUCACGACCGCGCCGAAGCCCAGCUGGAGGCGGUGCAGGGGGCUCUCAGGCAACGUGAGGCUGAGGUUUUGGACUUAAAAGACCAAUUAGAAAAUCUUAAAGAUGACUUAGUAAAUAAAAAUGAAGAAAUCCUGCAUCUGAACUGGAAAUUAGGCCUGCAGGACAACAGCACUGCUGCCAGCAUCAAAGAGCUUCAGGAGGAGAACGCCCGUCUGAAAACAUUUCUGCAAAAUAAAGAAAGCGAGAUGAUGCAUGUGCGUGAGUCGGCGGAAGCACAGUUGGCCAGGACAGGAAGUGGUGCUCUCAGUGAGGUUGUGUGUAGUAGAAGUUCUGAAGUGGAAGAGCUGAAAUCCAUUAUUGAGACUCUGCGUGAGAACCAAGCGCGGCUGCAGAAGGAUAAUGCUGAGGAGAUUGAGCAGCUCCACGAGGUCAUCGAGAAGCUGCAGAGGGAGCUCCCACUCGGGGGGCCUGAGGCUCCCAAGGCUGGGGAAGGCGGGGCCAUGAGCCUGCAGAGUGAGCUGCUGGGCCUCCCAGCCGAGGGAGCCGAGGCCCCCGCAAUGUUGGCGGGUGAGCUGCAUGCUGCCCUGGAGGCCAAGGAGGCCCUGAGCCAGCGGCUGGCCGAGCAGGAGCGCCAGCACAGCCAGGCCCUCGAGGCUCUCCAGCAGCGCCUGCAGGCCGCGGAGGAGGCGGCCACACGGCAGUUGGCCGAGCUGGGGCCUGAGGGCCUAGCCUCCCAGAUCCUCGAGUUUGAAGCUGCUCUGCGUGCCAGGGAAGCAAAGAUCGCAGAGAGAGAUUUAGAAAUUGAAGCUCUCCGCCGGGAGAAGUCCACCCACUCCGCUGAGCUGGAGGCCAUCCUGGCAGCCGUGGCCCGCUUUCGCCAUGCCCUGGAGCAGCAGCUCCUGGCGGCCACUGGGGAGCCCCCUGAGCUACAGCGACUCCGAAAGCAGUGUGUCUGCCUCAGCCGCCAGCUGCAGGCACUCAAUCAGCGGUUCCUGAAGUGCCAGAAGGAGCUGGAUGAGCGGCAGGCACAUGGGGAGGGUGGCUCCCAGGGCUGGGUGCCUAGGGGCGAAGAGACCUCCUGCAGUGAGGAAUCGCAACAGGCUGUGGAUGGCAGGCAGCUGGCCCAGGCCCUUGACGGCCGUGGCAGUGACCCACAGAGCCUAGUUAAGGAUGACCUGCAGCCGUCCAAAGCCCUGCCUGCACUGACCUGCACCCGCCCCAGCCAGCAGGACAGCGUGAUAUCGGUACUCACAGUCUGCCAGCAGCAGCUGGAGUCUGAGCUGCUCUUAGUGAAAAAGGAGAUGUGCCUGCGUGCAGAGGAUGGCGGCAGAGAGUCAGGAGCAGUGAAGGAUAAGGGAAAACUACUGGAAGAUUGUCGGCUACAGAAAGUUGAUCUCAUAGCUCAGGUGAAACAACUUCAAGAAAAACUGAACCAUCUGGUGUGUUCCAUGAGCUUCCAAAACAUCGAGAUGGAGGACUUUAAAUAUCAGCAGGCGGUGGCAUCUCCAUGUGCUUUAGAAGAUGGUUUGAGUGAUGGUUCUGAUAACAGUGAAGAAACUGACAAAUCACCUCCUAUUGAUACAUUUAACAUCUUAUGGGAUCUAGCUGAGGUCACUGGAAAUUCAGAUUCAUUGAUAAGAAAUGAGCCAGAUGCUCCCGCAGGAGAGCCGGUCACUUUGCGGGACAGGUCACUCUGCUUGCAGGGCCACCUGCGUGGGCGCUCCCGGGGCUUCACCCGCUCCCAGGGGUCCAAGCCCUUGAAGAGUGUGCUCAGGACGAUGGACCUGUCCCCCUGGAGCUCCCCUGAGGUUGUCAGGGAGGACUCAGCCUUUGAGCCCCCGCCCAGCCUGCCCCUAACACCCUGCUCAGAUGCCCUGAGCCUGCACAGCCUGGACACCUCGCUUUGGGAUGGGACAAGCACCCACCUGCUCCAGGCUGCCCAGUCGGGGCAGCUUUGUUACCCGGGCGAGUCAGCUGCAGGAACAGCCCCUAAGUGGGUGGGGUCUCCAUUGGCUGCAGACAGCGCUCCCUCUGCGGACCACCAUGCUCAGCGGGUGCCUGUGGAGAAAGAUGUUGAAGAUUUUAUCAUAACAUCUCUUGAUUCUCAAGAAAAGUCAAGAUCACCUCCUCUCGGGUUAGAAGGAAAAAGCGAUGGAAAAAGUGAUGGUGUGGAGUUUGCAGAACCACUGAGCCAAGAUUCGGGAAGACUGGGAGCUCCCGCUGCCAGCCCUGCAGCACCCCUCAUCACCCCCAGGGACUGCCGACGGCCACUGGACGCCAUGAAGGAGAAGGAAGUCCAUCCGAAGCAAGUGAAGGCUUUGCUGCAGAUGGUGUGUGAUGAGAGCCACCACAUCCUGGCCCUGUCCGAAUACCGAGGACCCCCCCACAUCCUGAGCAGGAGUGAGCCCAGUGCCCCCCUCGAGUGCCUUCCAAUGGGGGGCCAGGACCUGCUGGAGGCAGUGCCUGCUCCCAGGGAGCAUCCCACCCCAGGAUCCCAGAAGGGAGAGAAGGCAUCUUCCAACGUGGGCCUGGACUGGAGCGGAGACUUCCUGCAGGCUGUACAGGGGGCCUUUGAGAAGGAGCGGGAGAUGCUGAGAGUGGAGCUGUGGCCCCAGCUCUGUGGCUUGGGCCCUGGGGGCUGCGGCUCCCUGCUUGAGAGGCUGGAGAAGGUGGUUCAUGAGCAGGGGGACCAGCAGGAGAGGUCGUUGGAGCCCCUCUGCCUGUCAGACAGGAGCAGCCUGCUGUCGGAGAUCCAGGCUCUGCGGGCCCAGCUGCGGAUGACGCACCUGCAAAACCAGGAGAAGCUACAGCAGCUGUGCACGGCGCUGACCAGCGCGGAGGCCCGAGGGAGCCGCCAGGAGCACCGGCUGCGCAGGCAGGUUGAAUUAUUGGCGUAUAAGGUCGAGCAGGAAAAAUGUAUAGCAAGCGACCUGCAGAAAACCCUGAACGAAGAGCAAGAGAAAGCAAAUAAUGUCCGAAAGCUGCUGGUGGCAGAGCAGAACGCUGUCAGAGACCUGAAAUCCGAGCUCUGCGAGUGUCGACAGGACAAUGAGCGGCUGCUCAAGUCCCUCAAUGACGUGCAGAAGGAGGUCCUCCAGAUGAGGUCGAUGCUGGAUAGUAAGGAGAGUGACCUGCAGGCAGCGCUGCAGCAGCUGGAGGGUGAGCGCAUGAAGGAGCAGGCCCUGCAGAGCCAGCUAGAGGAGGAGCGGCUGCAGCACAUGCAGAGAGAGGGCCAGAGCGCCAAGACCCUGGAGGAGUUAAGGGCAUCUUUGGAGCAGCAGUGCGCCCAGAGCAACCAGCUGUGUGUGGUGCUGAAACAUGAGCAGACAGCAAAGGACAACCUGCGACAGGAGCUGCAGAUUGAGGCAUCACGCUGUGAGGCGCUGCUGGCGCAGGAACGUGGCCACAUGUCUGAGCUGCAGCGGAGUCUGGAGGCCGAGCGGGACCGCGCACGCGAGCUGUCAGAGGCCCUGCAGCACGAGCGCGUCCUGACGGAGCGGCUGAGCCGGCGGCCUCAGGAGAGGCCUCCGCACCAGGCGCUGCUGCAGAAGCUGCGGGCCCGGGAGGAGCAUGUGCGCGAGCUGGAGGUGGCACUGGAGGCUGCGCAGCAGCACGCCCUGGAGGCUGAGGCGCGCGUGCACCGCGAGGAGGUGGAGCGGGAACAGGAGCGGGAGCUGGAGCUGCAGCGCCAGCGGGAUGAGCACAAGAUCCAGCAGCUGCAACGGACCGUGCAGGAGCUGCAGGCGCGGGUGGCACUGCCAAGUGCGGAGCCAGAGCGCCUCCGUGAGCAGCAGCGGGGCCUGGAGAAGGUGCGGCAGCAGCUGCUCUGCGCCGCGGGGCUUCUCACCAGCUUCAUCAACCAGACAGUGGACAGGACGAUCAGUGAUUGGACGUCGUCAAACGAGAAGGCAGUGGCGUCUUUGCUGCACACACUGGAGACACUGAAGUCUGAAUUGGGCACGUCCAGCUCCUGCCGGAAAACAGCGGCGGAGCUGCAGAUCCAGCUGGUGGACGUCCUGCUGAAGGACAACGAGUCGCUGAGCAGAGCACUCAGCACAGUGACGCGGGAGAAGGCGGAGCUGUGCAAGGCCUUAUCUCGGCUGGAGAGGACACACCGGGCCCCGAGGACCUUGCAGGAGGGCUGCACUCGCAAGAGGUCAGACAGGUCUGCCUGGAAGCAGGACAAGACGGUCUCACCAGGCUCAGCACGACACCCAGACCCAGCACUGGACGCCGGUGCCUGCAGUGCCAAGAUGGAAAAGUUGUACCUGCGUUAUUUGAGAGCAGAGAGCUUUAGAAAAGCCCUGAUUUAUCAGAAGAAGUACCUUCUGCUGCUCAUCGGUGGCUUCCAGGACUCUGAACAGGAAACCCUGUCCAUGAUCGCCCACUUGGGGGUGUUCCCUUCCAAAGCAGACAAGAAGGCAACGGAGUCCCGCCCCUUCACCAGGUUCCGCACGGCCGUCAGGGUGGUGAUCGCCGUCCUAAGAUUACGCUUUUUGGUUAAGAAGUGGCAACAAGUAGAUGGCAGAGGAGCCCUAGCCCCAGGCCAAGUGCUGCGCCCAGGGGAAGGAUUCCUGGUACCACGGCGGCAGCAGUCUCCACCUGUCACCCGUGAAUCCCCACCCACCCGGGAUGUGUCUUCCAGCCAGCCCAGGGACCCUGUGUCAAAAGCAUCCCCACGCAGGAGGGAAAGAUCCAGUCCACCCUCAAAUCCCAGAUCAGAAAGAUCCCUGACUGCUUCUCAAGAUCCAGAACAUUCCUUGACAGAGUAUAUUCACCACUUAGAAAUGAUCCAGCAAAGACUGGGAGGCAUGCCACCAGAGUCCACUUCAAAGAAGUCCUGCUGCCAGAAGAUUAAACAGUGAAUAAAGUCCUGUGACAAUUUUGAGGAAGACAUUUGAUUUUCUGAGGGGAAGCUUGUGCUGUGGCAUGCUGAGUGCCAGCCCCGUGUCAUCCGUUAAGUGUUCUCACCCUUACAUUUUGCUGUGAAGCCAAAUGGGGUAUUUUCUUUGUAAUUCAGCACAUUUUAGCUUCUCAUCUUGAUGAGGUAGCCCCUUGGUUUCAGUCAUGCCUGCAUGCCUACCUCCACAGAGGAUAAGCAGAGGAUGACUUCCUGUUUAUUUUCUUAAAGUGUACAGCUGGAAACUUGGUUU